GGGGAUUUAGUUCAGUGGUAGAGCGUUUGCCUAGCAAGCACAAGGCCCUGGGUUCGGUCCCCAGCUCCG
rnacentral:tRNA from 1 species